AGUGAACGCUGGCGGCAGGCCUAAUACAUGCAAGUCGAACGGCAGCACGGCAGAGCUUGCUCUGUGGGUGGCGAGUGGCGGACGGGUGAGGAAUACAUGGGAAUCUGCCCAGUCGUGGGGGAUAACGUAGGGAAACUUACGCUAAUACCGCAUGCGCCCUUCGGGGGGAAAGCCGGGGGACCUUCGGGCCUGGCGCGAUUGGAUGAGCCCAUGUCGGAUUAGCUAGUUGGCGGGGUAAUGGCCCACCAAGGCGACGAUCCGUAGCUGGUCUGAGAGGAUGAUCAGCCACACUGGAACUGAGACACGGUCCAGACUCCUACGGGAGGCAGCAGUAGGGAAUAUUGGACAAUGGGCGCAAGCCUGAUCCAGCCAUGCCGCGUGAGUGAAGAAGGCCCUCGGGUUGGUAAAGCGUCUUUGUCCGG
rnacentral:rRNA from 1 species